GGAGUCUUAACCACUAGACUUCCAGGGAAGUUGCUAAUUUUCAUCUUCUUGAUUCAGGUUUAUUCUAUCAGUACAUUAACUUUUAUGUUGGCUUUUCUUUAUAAAGGCUCUUUAUUUAAACUACUGAAAUAUUUAAAUAGCACAUUUGCUGCCUUCUUCAAAAGCAUGUUACUGGAAUUACUGGAUUAAUGACUGUCAGGAUCUCCAAUUACCUCACAAGAAAGGUGAUAAAGUAUCUUAAGCCACCUGAUAAUCCUUAGUGCGGUAUAUGUUGUUGCUCAAGCGAAGAAGACGCUGUAAAUGGUGCAAACGACUUACUUGGGACUAUUUACAAAGAUUUGUUCAAGGAGCAUAGAAACCACUUGAGAUGGUGCAGUAAUAGCAAAGAGGAGGAUGCAGUUACUGGAACACAAAGGUGGGGAGGCUGUAUGGAAGGAAUGGGUCAUCUAAAAAGAGCUAUGAGGUUGAAUGGACUGUGUGGCCAUCUAUAUCAAUAACGAAGGGACUUACACGCAAAUGAUAGGAUCAGCGGUGCCAUAGCCUGGUCAUGCUACACAGAAACAGUCUUCUCAAGAAUCAGUUUUUAAAAAUCAGCAGAAGGAAAGAUGCUGACCCUCUCCAAUUCUUUUCCACUUGAAUUUUCAGCUACACUGUCACCAGCAUUUUUUUUUUUUUACAGCUAAUACAGUAGGACAGGUGUCCUGAAAUAAGUGCCUGUCUUUGGAAAGAGCAAAUGGGUGACAAUAUCUAGAUCUGAAGUUUACAGCAACACUGAACUGACCAUACUGGUUAUCCUCAGGGAGCCCAGAACUACGUGACAUAUAUUUUCUGAAAAGAGGCUGAAAUCAAGCAGAGUGAGAGCAAAAUUUGCAACUGAAGACUAGUUAAAAUUUUAUGCAAAAAUAUAUAAUACCGAAAUGAGGCAUGGUGGUUUGGUUUUCUUUACAAUUAUAGUUAACCCUUAAAAUCUCUAAUAAAGAAAUAUCAUGCUAUAUUACAACAGUUAUAUCUUUGUCAUCAUCACUACUGGCC
ensembl:lncRNA